AGACCGGCCAGAUGAGGGGAUGAUGGACUUGCCUGCUUGACUCGUUCCUGUACUUUUAUCCCAACAAAACAUGACACACACCGAGAUGUGAAAGCUGUCAACUUUUCUUUGUAAAUGUUUCUACCCAGGAAGACAUGAUUUCACCCACCAUGAAGCCUUCUGGAAGCACAUUCCUCUGACGCUGCAGCAGCGAAGGAAAGAUGGAAAGGAGAAGUUAUCAUUUCUUUCUCAAGAUCCUGGCCCCAUGAGCCUCAGUGUAGCCCUAGUUCCUGGGAUCAGCACCAACAGGCAGGGAAGAGAGGCUCUGGCGCCCUGCAGACAGCACCAGGUUCUUGGCAUCAGGAGCUGGAUCCAGAGUCCCUGAUAAUCCCAGCCACAGAAUAUCUCAAACUCACCAACAUGUCCUCUAAAUAUCAGCUAUGAAAAGGCUUCCACUCUUGCACCUGUCUUGCUAUUAUUUUACAGAUGUGUUCUAAAAGCUAUAAAGACAGAAAUCGC
rnacentral:antisense_RNA from 1 species